UCUAUUGCUGCUCUUCAGCUAGUGAGUUGGGACCAAGGAGGAAGUGAAUCUGAAGCAAGCCCAAAAACUGGUUCCGGGAGCAAUUUUUUAGUGAACUGAAACUGAACGUAAAAUCUCUCGAUAGCCUGGAAGCUGAACUGGGACAGAAGAGAAAAUCUGGGAACUGGUUCCGCCAGGCCUUGAAAAAUUUUGUUUGGAUCUAGGAACCAGCCCCAAAGUUUAGGGGACAGACGAUGGAAACUUGACAAAAUUACUGGACUUAAUGACAGACAUUGUGGAGGGGAAGGAUACACAGGCUUCCGUUUUCCUUCUUUAGUACCCUGGAGGGAAAAGCUGGGACCAGACUGAGCCACCAGCCUCUUUCAUCCAUAAUCAGAUGAUGGAUGAUUUUGAUUUAUUCUGGACUGACCUGGCAUUACAAAGGAGCAAGAAUACAGAGGCAGAGAGAGCAAAGCAGAGGGAAAGGGUGACUGGAUUCAAAGAAGAGAAGCAUUCCUUAAUUGUUCUGGAAGAGGAGAGAUUUUGCAAGAAUUGUCACUCAAAUAAAUCAUAGUCAAUCAGUUAAAUCUGCACAUGAAUUUUAAAAAGCAAAUUUAUUCUCCUUGUCAAUGUUAGAGCUGCACCAUCUAAGAUGGUCUUCAGAAGAGCACUGAAGAUCCAUCUCUUCAGUCAGGCUUUUAGUUGAAUUUUAAAUUUGAUUUUAAUUUUAAUCAUGUUUUUAACUGUUGAUUUUAUUGUUUAUGGUUGUUUUUAAUUCAUUGUAAACAGCCAUGAGAUGUUUGGUGGCAUAUAAAUGCAGUAAA